AGCAAUAAUAGCUUAAGUGAGAGCAUUGGUCUUGUAAGUCAAAGGUGAAUAUAAAUAUUCUUAUUGCUU
rnacentral:tRNA from 1 species